rnacentral:misc_RNA from 1 species
GGACUACUCGGGUUUCUAAUCCCGUUUGCUACCCUAGCUUUCGCGUCUGAGCGUCAGAAACGAUCCAGAAAAUCGCCUUCGCCACUGGUGUUCCUCCCGAUAUCUACGCAUUUCACCACUACACCGGGAAUUCCAUUUUCCUCUAUCGCUCUCUAGUCUGGUAGUUUUGGACGACCUCUCCCAGUUGAGCCGGGAGCUUUCACGCCCAACUUACCAAACCGCCUGCACGCGCUUUACGCCCAGUGAAUCCGGAUAACGCUCGCCUCCUACGUUUUACCGCGGCGGCUGGCAC